rnacentral:rRNA from 1 species
UUAAAGAUAGCUUGCUAUUUUUAUGAAGAGCGGCGAACGGGUGAGUAACGCGUGGGAAAUCUGCCGAGUAGCGGGGGACAACGUUUGGAAACGAACGCUAAUACCGCAUAACAAUGAGAAUCGCAUGAUUCUUAUUUAAAAGAAGCAAUUGCUUCACUACUUGAUGAUCCCGCGUUGUAUUAGCUAGUUGGUAGUGUAAAGGACUACCAAGGCGAUGAUACAUAGCCGACCUGAGAGGGUGAUCGGCCACACUGGGACUGAGACACGGCCCAGACUCCUACGGGAGGCAGCAGUAGGGAAUCUUCGGCAAUGGGGGCAACCCUGACCGAGCAACGCCGCGUGAGUGAAGAAGGUUUUCGGAUCGUAAAACUCUGUUGUUAGAGAAGAACGUUAAGUAGAGUGGAAAAUUACUUAAGUGACGGUAUCUAACCAGAAAGGGACGGCUAACUACGUGCCAGCAGCCGCGGUAAUACGUAGGUCCCAAGCGUUGUCCGGAUUUAUUGGGCGUAAAGCGAGCGCAGGUGGUUUCUUAAGUCUGAUGUAAAAGGCAGUGGCUCAACCAUUGU